rnacentral:rRNA from 1 species
GACGAACCGUGCGAACGUUGUUCGGAUUCAUUGGGCUUAAAGGGCGCGUAGGCGGCCGCUCAAGUCGGGGGUGAAAUCUUUCAGCUCAACUGGAAAAUAGCCUCCGAUACUGGGCGGCUGGAGGGAGAUAGGGGUGCGCGGAACUUCCGGUGGAGCGGUGAAAUGCGUAGAUAUCGGAAGGAACGCCGGUGGCGAAAGCGGCGCACUGGAUCUCAUCUGACGCUGAGGCGCGAAAGCCAGGGGAGCAAAGCGGGG